rnacentral:lncRNA from 1 species
UCCCAAGUAUUAGGUGGAGGCGGAAUUAACUUAGUUCGGCUUGGCCCCAAAAGGGCAGGAUGAGGAGCAGUGGGUGGAAGUAUCAGGGACAAAUGAUCUCAGGGCUGUCCAGAGAUAGGAGGAGAAGGGGGCUGCUCUCACCGGAGUUCUUCAGGCCGGUAAAGAGAAGAGCACUGCUCUCAUGCAGGUCUGAACCUUUCAGCCCUGAUGUUUUGUGAACCCCAAGUCUCUUCUCCCUCACCCAGCCACAACCCUAGUUUGGCCCCCAUCCUCUCUCAGGCAGACCAUCAAUUUCUCACCUUGCUCCAGUUUUUGCCUUCUCCAGUUCAUCUUCCACAUCUGUAAAAAGCAUCUCACUCGGGCACAAUUCAGAGCCUGAUACCCCUCUCCUGAAAAACUUUCAGCAAGUGGGUUCUCCCACUCCACCCAAGGGGCAGCACAGGUUUCCGAGUCCCCUGCCUCACCCUCCCCUCUUCUGUUUCUCAUUUACAGAUGAGCUGGGGAAACCCCGAGCAGCUCAUUCCCUCUAAUUUAUUUCCAGGAGUGUUUGGGGACCCAUGAACUCAGGCAGCCAGAGGAUUGAGGAAGGAGCUGGCUGGGAGAGCCAGCAUGACUGUGCCAGGCAAGGCCGGAGGGACGGUGUUCUGGAUCGGUUUCUGUAAACUGCUGUGUCAGCCUGACAUUCAAGGCUCUCCUUUGAAGCUCCCUUUGUCUGCUGGUUCUGGCCCUCAGCCACGCUAUGGAAUCGAUUCCAUUUGUCUCUAUGACACGCUCAUCCUUACCCCAUUCCCCUCACUUCCCUGAGGGAUCCAAACCUUCAAAAUUCAACCUGGGUCCAACCUUCAAACCUCCAAGCACAGCUCGGCCCCCUACUCUAAUGCUGGCAUUUCCUGCCUGGAGAUCCUCUUCCAUCCUCCUUCUCUGCUGGAGGACAGUGAAAUCCAGGGAACUCUUCUCUCUCUCUCUCUCUCUCUCUCUCUCUCUCUCUCUCUCUCUCUCUCUCUCUCUCUCUUUUUUUUCUUUCUCUCUUUCUUUUUUGCUGAGGCACCUGGGGUUAAAUGACUUCCCCAGAGUCACACAGCUAGGAAGUAUUAAGUGUCUGAGGUCAGAUUUGAACUCAGGUCCUCCUGACUUCAGGGCUGGGGCUCUAUCCAUUGCACCCCCUAGCUGCCCUCCAAGGAACUCUCUUAAGAGCACAGUGAAGGGGACAGAGCAUGAGUAAGAAGCCAGAUUUCCUUUCCCUUCUGAAGACUGGCCUUUCCCUGAACCAAGUUCACCAUCCCUCCAGAUCUGAAAAGCUCAGUCAUCACCUCCAGGGCAUCCCUUCUCCCUCCAGAGGCCUUACCACCAUAGGAAACUUUUCCUGGAGUCUUUGAUCAGCCAAGAAGCAUUUAUUGACCACCUACUGUGUGCCAGGCACUGAGGGUACAAAAGACCAAACUAGGAGGGGUACCUGUCCUCACGGAGCUUACACUCUGCUGGGGGAACGGUCAGGUACACACAUAAUACAAAAUAUACACAAAGUCCAUUUGCUUGGUUGUAAAUACAAAUCUCACGAGAACAGAAUUCACUCUGGGAAGUUUGUCCUUACAUGGAGCGAUGGCUUUCCCCUGUGACUGCUCCCACUUGUGCUCUCUGGGGUCAGGCAGAACAGGCUAAUCCUUCCCGUACCUGAUACCCCUCUAGUCUCCAAAACAAGCUGCAGUAUCACAUCCCCUCUGAAUCUUCUCUUUCCGGGCCGACUAUAAUAAGUGCCUCCAACUGAUCCUCCCCCUCCUUCCCCUC